ensembl:lncRNA
AUGACGACAGAUCUGAUUCAACAGCGUCUCUAUGUGUCUGUGCAGGAGAACGCUCAUUUCGUCGUGGUGGACUUGAUGCUGGAGGUGCUGGAGGGGGUCAAAUGGACCCUGAGCUGCGAUCGACGGACCUCCACGACGGACGGGCGACAACACGCGCACGGCAACACGUGCACGCACAGAGACGCGCCGCCGCGGGGCCACAGGCAGCGGUGUGAGGCAAGCAGACGCACACGGACCUGCAGGGUUGCCGAAGAGGACGCAGAGCAUCACGAGGAUGAACAUACGCCAAAGACUUUCUCCAUCCUCUCCUCGGACAGUGGAAUCGAAGUUUCAGAGUGUGGAGACGACAACACGCCGACACAGACGGAGUCUCUCAGAAAUGCGGAGUCGCUGGCCCAGAAGCUGGUGCUGGAGUUCAGGAGGAGCUGGCUUCCUUCCUGUGAGCCUCGCCGUGGACGGCAAAGCCUCCGCAGCUCGCUGCAGGAAGUAAGAAUACGUCAAAAGAUGCACUUCAGCAAGUGA